rnacentral:misc_RNA from 1 species
GGAGUAUUAGCGCAAACGAUGAAAGGCGGCUCUCUCUGACUCCGAGUUCACAGUACACGAAGAGAAAGGCCUGCUUGCCAGAUUGUUUUCGCCGGCCAGUCUAAAACAUUUGAAAACUGGGUGAAGAAAAUGGGCGUUGGGGAGCUCAAAUACGACAUGUCGCAGAAUGGCUACAUAAAGCUGGUACUCCACGCCCUCAAGCACAACUCCGCAGCCGUCAACGGCGUUUUACUUGGUCGAUCCACCGACGACGUCGUUGAGAUUACCGACUCCGUCCCUCUUUUCCACAACCACCUCGGCAUCCUCCCUCCUCUAGAGAUCUCCCUCAUCAUGAUAGAGGAUUAUUACAGUGCUCAAGGUCUGGGUAUAGUGGG